UACAGAGAGUGCAAACGUUGUUCGGAAUUACUGGGCUUGAAGCGCACGUAGGCGGCGUUGUAAGUGUCGGGUGAAAUCCCACGGCUCACCCGUGGAACUGCCCGGCAUACUGCGAUGCUAGAGUGUGGUAGGGGAGAGCGGAACUCCUGGUGGAGCGGUGAAAUGCGUAGAUAUCAGGAGGAACACCGGUGGCGAAGGCGGCUCUCUGGUCCACAACUGACGCUGAGGUGCGAAAGCUAGGGGAGCAAAC
rnacentral:rRNA from 1 species